UACGAAGGGGGCUAGCGUUGCUCGGAAUCACUGGGCGUAAAGCGCACGUAGGCGGAUCCUUAAGUCAGGGGUGAAAUCCUGGAGCUCAACUCCAGAACUGCCUUUGAUACUGAGGAUCUUGAGUUCGGGAGAGGUGAGUGGAACUGCGAGUGUAGAGGUGAAAUUCGUAGAUAUUCGCAAGAACACCAGUGGCGAAGGCGACUACCUGGACCAGCACUGACACUGAGGCACGAAAGCGUGGGGAGCAAACAGG
rnacentral:rRNA from 1 species